rnacentral:ncRNA from 2 species
CUUACAAUCCGCGCCGUUGGUGCUCGCACUGGGGUUCGCCCGGUGCAGUUAAACGGGAAGCAGGAAGGCUGCCGCGUCACGAUUUUGCCGAUGACGCCAGCCCCACCUGCGCUGCCCCCGCAACGGUCGGCGGUCGAGCCCUCACGGGUUCAGCUUGCGUUCACAACCACUGGUCACCUGAAAGCGACUGGGAAGGUUUCGCAAGCCGCACCGCCUAGCCCGGAUACCGGCCGACAAGGGGCCUGGCCU